UGAAGACAGAAUGUUAGCAAA
ensembl:piRNA 21ur-1419 ncRNA